rnacentral:rRNA from 1 species
AUUGAACGCUGGCGGCAUGCUUUACACAUGCAAGUCGAACGGUAACAGGCCUUCGGGUGCUGACGAGUGGCGAACGGGUGAGUAAUGCAUCGGAACGUACCCAGAGGUGGGGGAUAACGCAGCGAAAGCUGUGCUAAUACCGCAUGUGAUCUGAGGAUGAAAGCGGGGGACCGAGCAGCAAUGUUUGGCCUCGCGCCUUUGGAGCGGCCGAUGUCGGAUUAGCUAGUUGGUGGGGUAAAGGCCUACCAAGGCGACGAUCCGUAGCUGGUCUGAGAGGACGAACAGGCACACUGGGACUGAGACACGGCCCAGACUCCUACGGGAGGCAGCAGUGGGGAAUUUUGGACAAUGGGCGCAAGCCUGAUCCAGCAAUGCCGCGUGCGGGAAGAAGGCCUUCGGGUUGUAAACCGCUUUUGGCAGGAACGAAACGGUGUCCGCUAAUACCGGGCGCUAAUGACGGUACCUGCAGAAUAAGCACCGGCUAACUACGUG